UACGUAGGCAGCAAGCGUUGUUCGGAGUUACUGGGCGUAAAGCGUGCGCAGGCGGUUAUGCAAGACAGAUGUGAAAUCCCCGGGCUCAACCUGGGAACUGCAUUUGUGACUGCAUAGCUAGAGUACGGUAGAGGGGGAUGGAAUUCCGCGUGUAGCAGUGAAAUGCGUAGAUAUGCGGAGGAACACCGAUGGCGAAGGCAAUCCCCUGGACCUGUACUGACGCUCAUGCACGAAAGCGUGGGGAGCAAACAGG
rnacentral:rRNA from 1 species